AUUGAACGCUGGCGGAAUGCUUUACACAUGCAAGUCGAGCGGCAGCGCGGCCUUCGGGCUGGCGGCGAGCGGCGAACGGGUGAGUAAUGCAUCGGAACAUGCCCAGUCGUGGGGGAUAACACUUCGAAAGAAGUGCUAAUACCGCAUACGUCCUGAGGGGGAAAGCGGGGGAUCGCAAGACCUCGCGCGAUUGGAGUGGCCGAUGUCAGAUUAGCUAGUUGGUGGGGUAAAGGCCUACCAAGGCGACGAUCCGUAGCUGGUCUGAGAGGAUGAUCAGCCACACUGGGACUGAGACACGGCCCAGACUCCUACGGGAGGCAGCAGUGGGGAAUUUUGGACAAUGGGGGCAACCCUGAUCCAGCCAUUCCGCGUGAGUGAAGAGGGCCUUCGGGUUGUAAAGCUCUUUCGGCAGGAACGAAACGGUGGGCUCUAACAUAGUCCGCUAAUGACGGUACCUGAAGAAGAAGCACCGGCUAACUACGUG
rnacentral:rRNA from 1 species